rnacentral:rRNA from 1 species
UACGAAGGGGCUAGCGUUGUUCGGAAUUACUGGGCGUAAAGCGCACGUAGGCGGACUAUUAAGUCAGGGUGAAAUCCCGGGGCUCAACCCCGGAACUGCCUUUGAUACUGGUAGUCUCGAGUCCGGAAGAGGUGAGUGGAAUUCCGAGUGUAGAGGUGAAAUUCGUAGAUAUUCGCAAGAACACCAGUGGCGAAGGCGGCUCACUGGCCCGGUACUGACGCUGAGGUGCGAAAGCGUGGGGAG